rnacentral:lncRNA from 1 species
GUGAAGGAGAAAAAGAUAGCUUUAUUUCUUUGCCAGGCAAAGGGGGCCACAGCAGCCUAGUGCCUUCAAGACUGUGCCCCCUUUGGAAGGGAUUAGCAGGUGGUUGUAUAGUUGGGGGGGUGGAAAAUCGGGCCACAGAGAAGGAUCAGGGUAGAGGCGAGCUUGCAUUGUUUUCAGCGCUGGUGUUUAGUGGCCCCAGGACGGGUCCCGGUGGUCCUCCUUCCUCAAAUGAAGAUGCUUCAUCAAGCAGUUCUUCUGUUUGAUGGGGGUUUUAGUUCUGCAUUAAGGCCCAAAGAGGUUAUGUGUAUUCCUUAAGGAGGAACCAGGACCUGCCCCAAGGCUGCACUGUAGUCUCUUGACGGCCCCUCCCUGGUCUCUGCAUCCGCCCUCCCCUCCCCCUCUAUUAGCAAGUGCCCUUUGGGGCUCACGGAAGGUCAUGAAGCCUGAGGCUUAUUCCCUAAAGACGAGAAAUGAGGACAGAGACAGCCUGUGUGCCCAGGAGCCCCACAGGGCACUAGCUCGGUUACAGUGUCAAGAUCACCUAGGGGGUAGGUUCUAAUAGCAGCCUCUUUUUACCAGUGAAGCAGGUGUGGCCCUAAAAAGAAAAAAAAAUUGUGAAGAAAAGAGAAGGAGGCAGGAGGGGCCAGAUCCUUAACUCACCGAGCGAGGCCAGGGAUGGAACCCGCAACCUCAUGGUUCCUAGUCGGAUUUGUUUCCGCUGCGCCACGACGGGAACUCCGAGCAUUUUUUUUUUUUUUAAAUGAUUUUAAUUUUCUUCCCUUACAGUGUUCUGUCAAUCAGAGCCAGCGUUUUCAUGCCAGGGCUCAACUCCCUGAGGAGCCAAUGCAGGCCAGGUGGACUGAGCAGGACUGAGAGGUAGGGUGGGAGGGUGGGUCAGAGCUUCCUUUUUUUUUUUUAAGGGCCACACCCGAGGCACUUGGAAGUUCCCAGGCUAGGGGUUGAAUCAGCUAUAGCUGCCAGCCACAGCCACAGCAAUGCUGGAUCCUGAACGCCUUGAGUGAGGCCAUGGCUGGAACCUGUGUCCUCAUGGAUAAUAGUUAGGUUCGUUUCCCACUGAGCCACAACGUGAACUCCAAGGCAGGGCUUCUGGAACGUUUUAUUUCCCUUAUAAUCCCCUCGGACUUGUAGAGGAAGAAAAGCAGAUUGUACUUUUAUCCCAAAGGGAUCCUAACGCAGGGGGGUUGGGAUGGGGCCCAGGAAUAUAGUUUUACAGGCACCCCAGGUGUUUUUGGUGGAAGGGGCUUAAGUCCCCACCGGAGGCAGGACGAAGCAGAGGCUGCGGCAGGCAUGUGCCAGGCUGUCCCUGGCCUGUGGUUCUUUCUGAUGAAAGUCAAAGUCUGUGAUGGGGAGAAGGGGGUGCUAGGAUGCUGAAAAGGUCUCAGCAAAAAAGUGCCCUCCACAAGCAGCUUAGCCCAGGGGUCCUCAGCUGGGGACAACUUUGCUCCCCCAGGGGACAGCUGGCAAUUCUUGAAGACAUGUUCUUGUCUCAAUUAGGAAAGAGGGGUGUUUCUAGCAUUGCGUGCAUAGAGGCCAGAGAUGCCACUAAACGGCUCCCUCUGCCCCCCCCCCCACAACGAAGGAUUAUCCGGCCCCAAAUGUCAGAAGUGCAAAGGUUGAAAACCCCAGAGCCAGCUGAUUUGCCAUCCAUCCCCAAGCCCUUCCCCAGGAUCUCGAACAAACACUUGUCUGCAUCACGUCUGCCUGGUAAUGAAGAUGCUAAAAUCACAAUCAUUUGUUCAAGUGAAAAAAUUAGCAUAGCCAAGUGGGUCUUUGCAUCUCUUUUCCCCUCACAUUCCUUCCCACCUUGUUUGGAAACCCUGAGAAAGCUUUGGGUGCACUUCAGAAGUGAUUGGUGCCACCUAGUGAUACUGGAGAUAAUACCAGCAGGAGCACUUGCAAGAACUGGAAACUUGCUUAGGGGGCCUUACCUCUGUGAAGAUCCUAUGUAAACGAAGAGCACCCGAAUGAGAACAAACAGAAGCUGUUGGUUCAGAGCUUUCUACAGCAAGGGAGUCAGCUACCAUCACUUGCACUUGGCAAAGACUCAAGUACAACUGGAGAAUCAAAUGCUAGUGAGAAAGGUUUAGAGAGAAAAAAAAAACUAAGUCUUCAAGUGUCCUGAACUGGAGGGUGUUAGCACGGGGAGGCUGGAGCAGGGACGUCUCAUGUGAUUGGUUUGCUUUCUCUGAUGGGUCUGCAGUUGGUAGUGGGAGCGAAAAUUAGAGAAGAUGCGUUCCUGGACCACGUCCUGACUAUUCUGGGCCCGUUGCUACAGAGGCUGUGGGUCAGGGUUCUCUUGUCAUAAAUGGCCUGGUCAGUGUCUGCCCGUAUAUUGAGUCUCUCAUUUCACUCAUUUUUUUUUUUUUUUUUUUUUCUUUUUUUUGGGCCCCUCCCGCCGCAUAUGGAGGUUCCCAGGCUAGGGGUCAAAUUAGAGCUACAGCUGCCGGCCUACGCCACAGCCACAUCAGAUCUGAACAGCGUCUGUGACCUAUACCACAGCUCAUGGCACCGCUGGAUCCUUUACUCACUGAUUGAGGCCAGGGAUUGAACCCUCAACCUCAUGGUUCAUUCAUUUCUGCUGUGCCACAAUGGGAACUCCCCAGCAUUUUGUUCUUAAUUACUGUUAAAGAUACUAAUUGCCAGAAUCAUAAAUGUAAGUCUAGAGAAUGCAUGUAGCUGUAGUUAGACUCCUCACCCCAAGUUGCUUAAGGAGAAACACAGGCCCAGAGAGACUCGCCUGAGGUCAGGUGGUUACCUCUUAACGAGGGGGCUAGAACUCAGGGCUUCUGGUUUCAAAUUAGGUCCUCAAUAAGGCCCUUGGUGACUCAGAGGCACACAAGAAUAUUCUACACCUUUGGGACAGAGUAAGUAAAUAAAUGAGAGAAAGGUGCCAAGGCUUAAUGAAUGGCCUGCCCUAUUUGAAACUGGUGGUGGUAGGUAUGACCUUGGGAACUUCGAAGGCGUCUGCAGCAUCUUACGGAAAUGGGAAUGGAUUAUUAUUUUGGCUGUCCUGUGGCAUAUGGAGUUCCCAGGCCAGGGAUCAGAUCCAAGGCACAGUUUCCACGUAAGCCGCAGGUGUGGCAACGCCCCAUCCUUAACCCACUGUGCCUCACCAGGGAUCGAACCUGCAUCACAGUGCUCCCAAGACAAUGGUCAAUCCCACUGUGCCACAGUGGGAACUCCUGGGAAUGGAUUAUUAGUUAACAGUGCAGGAGUAGCCAUUCCUAGCUGUAUGGGCAGCCCAGGUCCCUGCAUGUUCUAGCAUUCCUUGGGCUGUGAGUGGCAGAUAGACUUCAAGCAGCACAUGCGGGCAGUGUCCUUAUUUCUGUCCCUUGGGCCCUUCCAUUUGUGAGGCCCACAGACCCCCCCACCCCCUGGCAGAUUUUUAUGGAAGCUUGGCACCCAUGUGGAGAUAAAGGGUUGUAUAGGUAGAAGUGACUGUGGUACCCCAUUGCAGGCAGCCUCAUAAACCCCCAAGAGCAGAACAGAACACUGGGCCAUCCCUGACAGUGUUGGCUGAUUUCCCAGCUCUGUUCUGCUCCUCCUGGCUCUUUGGAGUUAUCUGACCUUCCUUUGGUAAUCCAAGGUUAAAUAAACUCCCUAAAAACCUCACACCAAACUCAUUCCCAUUUGGGGUCGUAAUUCUUUCUGGGGCUGGACACCCUCCCACCCCCAUGGCCCUCCCUUCCUCUCCCAAGCAGCCUCCGUCCUAUGGGUUCUCCCCGUUCUUCAUUUCUUUUAUCAGUGAAGAAUCUGUUAAGUCAGGAUGUGUGUCCCCAGGUCCCUACAGUGUACAUAUUAUUGAGCCUCCAUAAAUACUAGGCUGAGUUUAAGAACUACUUACUGGCCUUGGAGUUCCUGUUGUGGCUCAGCAGAAAUGAACCCGACUAGGAUCCAUAACGAUGCGGGUUCGAUCCCUGGCUUUACUCAGUGGGUUAAGGGUCUGGUAUUGCUGUGAGCUGUGGUGUAGGUCGCAGAUGGGCUCUGAUCCCAAGUUGCUGUGGCUGUGGUGUAGGCCGGCGGCUGUUAGCUCCAAUUGGAUCUCUAGUCUGGGAUCUGCCAGAAGCUGCAGGUGCGCCUCCCUCCGCCCCCCUCAAAAAAGAAAGAAAGAAAUACUUACUGGGCUUAAUUAGUAUUGGUUGAAUGAGCGAACAUUCUUUACGGAGCCACUCCCCAAGGUGCAAACACAUUCCCCAAAUAGGUGCAGCCUGGGACUCCGGGCCUUUCAAGGACAACACCCCCACCCCUCCCACCGUGGUCUGUGGGACCAUUGUUCGGGCAAGGGCUUUCAACUCCUCCACCGUUUCCGCGCUCUUUGUAGGGAAAGCCUAAGAUAGCUGGAGAGCCCGGCGCACAGGGGACAAAGAGGGGGUGUCGGGGGCGCAUUGGCGUUGGAAGUGAAUUUUAGCUUGGGGAGCCUCCGCCGGAGUCUGCGCCGCGUCCCCUUU